GACGAACGCUGGCGGCGUGCUUAAAACAUGCAAGUCGAACGGAGUGGCGAACGGGUGAGUAACACGUGGGUGACCAGCCCUGAACUUAGGGAUAAGCCUGGGAAACUGGGUCUAAUACCGGAGAGUGUGGGAUGGGCCCGCGGGCUAUCAGCUUGUUGGUGGGGUAAUGGCGGACCAAGGCGGCGACGGGUAGCCGGCCUGGGAGGGUGGACGGCGACAUUGCGCCUGAGACACGGCCCAGACUCGUACGGGAGGCAGCAGUGGGGAAUAUUGCACAAUGGGCGGGAGCCUGAUGUGGCGACGCCGCGUGGGGAAUGCCGUCCUUCGUGGUGUAAACUCCUUUCACCGUCGACGCGGUGGCUGGAGAAGAAGCCCCGGCUAACUUCGUGCCAGCAGCCGCGGUAAUAC
rnacentral:rRNA from 1 species